GGAGGGUGCAAGCGUUAAUCGGAAUUACUGGGCGUAAAGCGCACGCAGGCGGUUGGAUAAGUUAGAUGUGAAAGCCCCGGGCUCAACCUGGGAAUUGCAUUUAAAACUGUCCAGCUAGAGUCUUGUAGAGGGGGGUAGGAUUCCAGGUGUAGCGGUGAAAUGCGUAGAGAUCUGGAGGAAUACCGGUGGCGAAGGCGGCCCCCUGGACAAAGACUGACGCUCAGGUGCGAAAGCGUGGGGAGCAAACAGGAUUAGAUACCCUGGUAGUCCACGCCGUAAACGAUGUCGAUUUGGAGGCUGUGUCCUUGAGACGUGGCUUCCGGAGCUAACGCGUUAAAUCGACCGCCUGGGGAGUACGGCCGCAAGGUUA
rnacentral:rRNA from 1 species